AACGCACAUUGCGCCUACUAGUAUUCUGGUAGGCAUGCCUGUUCGAGCGUCAUUUCAACCCUCAAGCUCUAAAAAUGCUUGGUGUUGGGGUAUUUCUGCGGCACUGCUGCAGGCCCUGAAGACAAGUGGCAGACCCCUAAGGUACUCCAGCGCAGUACUAUUCUCGCUGAAGAGUCAACCUGUGGGUUGUCUUGCUGGCAAUAGCCUACAACAUAACGUGGUUGACCUCGGAUCAGGUAGGAAUACCCGCUGAACUUAA
rnacentral:misc_RNA from 1 species